GAAAUAUUAAAAAGAAAACCCAAUAGUUAUUAUUUGGGCCAAUGACUUUGUUAACAUUGUUAAAAUAUAAAAGAGGCCCAAGCCCAUCACUAAAUAUUAAUCAGCCUUAUUAGCGUAAAUUAGAGUAUUAAGAUUAUUAAGGCAGAUUAGCUCAUCAGAUCAACACGUAGCUCAUCACUUUUUAGUCAGCUGCUUCACCAACCGACUUAUAUCAGUAUAAACCUGGUGAACUACAUAAUUUCAUUUUUUUCCUCAUUCUGCAAGCCGGCAAAAUACCAUCCCAAAUCCGACUCAACCACGAUCAUUUACAAUCCCCAGCAGUUCAUAGCAGCAUCAAGCAAAGCAGGUUAAGCUGUGAUGCAGAUGGAUGUCAGCAGAGCAAAGCUUUUGAUAUAUAAGUACUAAAUUAGGCUCAGGAUUCCAUGUCUUCAUACAUGUAAUCCACUUAAGCUAUUCCGCUGCAACGCUUAGUGCGUUUUACUUUAUUGAUGUGUUGCAAAGAUUUCAAACUAAUAGCUUACAGAAUUAUGUCACUUGAUACUUAGACAACUUGUCGUUAUGUAUUGCGAGUUGUCUGCCUUUGAGUUUUAGAAAAGAUUGUUUAUGAUUACCAAAUAUUUUGGUAAAUUAUUGUUUAAGCAGGUUAGUGAUUUUUAUUGA